rnacentral:rRNA from 1 species
GUGAGGAAUAUUGGACAAUGGGCGCAAGCCUGAUCCAGCCAUGCCGCGUGCAGGAAGACGCAUCUAUGGUGUGUAAACUGCUUUUGUACGGGAAGAAACACUCCCUCGUGAGGGAGCUUGACGGUACCGUAAGAAUACGGAUCGGCUAACUCCGUGCCAGCAGCCGCGGUAAUACGGAGGAUCCCAGCGUUAUCCGGCAUCAUUGGGUUUAAAGGGUCCGUAGGCGGUUUAAUAAGUCAGUGGUGAAGGCCCAUCGCUCAACGAUGGAACUGCCAUUGAUACUGUUAGACUUGAAUUGCAAGGAAGUAACUAGAAUAUGUAGUGUAGCUGUGAAAUGCUUAGAUAUUACAUGGAAUACCAAUUGCGAAGGCAGGUUACUACUUGUGGAUUGACGCUGAGGGACUAAAGCGUGGGGAGCGAACAGGAUUAGAAACCCGGGUAGUCC